CUCACUCACUCACUCACUCACUCUCAGAGCAACUUGCCUUUAUCAUCGCCACAUAAACAUUAAAGCACAGUGGAGUUGUUUUCUUCGCAUAUGCCAGCUUUGGAACAGGAGAGUUAAGGAUACUGCUCAGUUGUCCAACAGAGGCAGCUUGGAGGGUCUGGGACUUAAACACAGACCUUCAGAUCAACAACCCACAGCCUUAACCACUAGAGCCACCUUUGUGUAUUAGACAUGUGGAUCUACAUGCUUCUGUUUGGGAUGCAGAUUUUCAGCACUGCUCUCACUGCAUCCGGUGGUUCCAUAACAGUUAAACUUCAUCACAAUUUUACACUCAAAUGUGAGCAGAAAUGUUCAGGUGUACUCAGAUGGAGCAGGAAUCGUGCGACUGUGGCUCAGUGUAAUCAGAUGUCCUGCAGCUCUAAAGAAGGCUUUAUUCUCUCUCAUGACCAGUUCCUGAAGGGGAAUCUGUCUCUCACCAUUACUGCAGCUGAUUACAGCAGGAGAGGUUUAUACACUUGUCAGUGCGAUGAGGCAGACCUCAGACACGUGCGACUCCUCAUUCAGAAUCCAGCACUCCCUCGAGCCUCAGUAAGCUCAAGAGAUAACACGUGUAAUUGCCCCGGGCAAGCCCAUAGACGUGCCCUUGCCCCUCACUGACCAGGUGGAGGUGAGAUUUACUGCGAGUGAUGCUGCACAACCGUCAGACAUGCAGAUCUGCACUGUGGACCAUGAGGAGAUCAAGUGCAGCUCAAAUUACAGAGCAAGAUCUUCUUGCCUCAACACUCUGCAGAUUACAGAUGGACGUGUCUCUGACACUGGGAGCUACACAGUACGAGAUCAAAUGAACAAUGAGACUCUGGCCAUCUUACGGGUCCAAGUGAGGGAGGAGCAACCAGGUCCAGACAGGGGGCAGGAGUGUGUUAUGCCAGUAUGGCUACUGGUGCUGGUGCUGGUUCUGGUGCUGGUUGUGUCUGCAUUUGUGGUCCUGUUGGUGAUGCAUGUGCGACUGAAGAGAGAGAUUCUGCAGCUUCGUGGGGAACAUCAGCUUGGAAUGAAAGGACUUUACAGUACACACCAGAGCAGGAGAUCUCUGCUGUCACAGGAGACAUCAGUGUCACAAAGUAGUAGCAAUGAGAACUUAUAACUGGGAGAUAUAUAAUUUCUUAUCUUAUCUUACAUCUCGGUUACAUCUCUGCUUAUGACCUCAGGAUAGCGGACACUCCAGUUAAACUGACUCUCUGGGAGCAGGGAACAUCUGGGAACAUCUGUGCCACAAAAGAAGUGUAUCAACACAAUGAUUACACAACAACAACAACAACAACAACAAUAAUAAUAAUAGGUCUAUAAUCAGGAGUCUUCCUUUUGCAGGGAAGUUGCUGGAGGGAAAAUUUAAAAUUCUGCUUAUCAACAUUGUAAGAAAUAUAAAAUGUGUGUGACAAUAAGACACUAAUGGUGAUAAUCUUAGUGAAGAACAAGAAGUUUAUUCUAGCAUAGCACUGACAAAAUACAUGAAGUACUUUGGGUUCAUCAGAGUCAAUAAGAACCCAGGACAAAUCAUGCUCAAGCAUUUUAUACUGUUUUCUUCUUUGAGGUUUUGCUUUGAAUGUGUAUUGAGCGUAAGAACUGAGUGUCUCCCAAAUGGCUGAGAUUCACCUUGUUGUCUAGCCUGUCUUUAAAUGAUAAUCCUGGUCAUGUACACCUUGGCUUGGUAUUGUUACAAUUGUUAGCAACCAAAUGGUCACUUUAAAUGGUAAUCGCGGUUUAUUUAUUUAGAGUUCUAAACGUAUUACCUUAUGAUAUGUAAGCCUUUUUAUGAAUGAGCUCUUUUUGAUGUGUAUCUUGGAGUGGAAUCUGGGUCCACUGUAAUUUCUUACAGUCCCUCCUUUGAUGCUUUUGGCCCGGAAGCAUCACAUCACUUCCUUAACACAAAUCACACCUCCCAUCUUGGGCAGGUACCCAGUGUCGGUGAAGCCCUGCCUAGGUUGUCCCCUUCGGCCCUCAGAGAAUCUUACCCAUCAUCGAAACCUCACCUCACGCACACUGGUUAUAGCUCCAUUCCAUAAGGCAAACUUAUCUCAGGUAUUUUUUUUUCUUAAAAUUUGGUUCAAUGUAAAAUAUUGCUUGGGUUUGUUGCAUAUAAAUUCAGAAACUAUCACAGCCAACGGGAACGUCCCACAUUGAUCACUGAAUUAUCUGCAAUAUGGUACACAUACAGCAUAACAUAAUGCAUUGACAAAGAAUGAGAGAGACGCAUACACAAACAGCAGUUUUGAAAGUUACAUCCCAAAUCAGAUCAGAAUAGGCAAUAACUAAAUCACCACCAUGCAUUUGUUUAGUCAAAACAUUAUCCUUUCCCAUAAGACCUUGUUGAGCUUUAACAAUAUGGUCAUCUUUUCUCUGCAUUAAUGACAUUAACAUAUUAUCCAAUUUUGGUAACUUAAAAUCAAAUUCUGGGAUAUCUUUCACAAAACAUAGUUGUUCCUCUGGAUUCAAUUACAUUGUUUGUUGUGUGAUAUUUACAUAUGGGAAGUAAUACUUUCCUAUUGACAAAGCUGUAUCUGAUAUUAUACAAAAUGAGGAAAGUGUCUGGUCAUCAUUAAGAUGGAAAAGUGAUCAAGAGUUGUGGCGACACAUGUUUUCCUGUUUGAAACUAUUACUCUUGUAAAAUUAUUGUGGACACACGUUAGAUUGAUUUCACAAGCCUCAUAAUUCCCCACAUGUUUUUCCAAGACAUCACACUCGCAAAUAAAACCAAAUGGAGUUUUGUCACA